rnacentral:lncRNA from 1 species
AUUUUAUAUUUGUGCCGGGCAAUCUAACUGGAUGAUAAAUCACAGUACACAGUCAUGAAAAGUUAUUGGUUUUAUGCAGUUAGACGCGGUAAAAACGUUGAUCGUGUACUGUACAUACAUUGGUUUAAAUCACCAGGAAAUUCGUAAUUUUUUUAAUUAUUUGAUAAUUUACAUAAAUCAAUGAGGAACUGAAUCCCAUAUUGAUACAUUUACGUUUUAUUUGAAUUUAUCUCAUAUUCGUAACAAAAUCAACAUUUAAACCCUAAUCGGCAGCGAUGACAAUUUCAUCGGAAAUAUCCUCUACUAUUUUGGACUUCCUAGUGGUUGACUGAGUGGAGAUAUUGCCCAUAAGAAAAAUAUCUCAAUAUUUCCUAAGAUCGCGUCAAUUAAGUUGGACUAAUAUUGGAUCUAUCAAAAACGUGAGCAAAUCAAUGAAAUGGGAAACACGGAAGGAGGACCAAAUUCAUUCGGUUCUAUAAGCUUGGGUCUUCUGUCCCAACAGAGUAAUAUUUUCCUCGAUCAAACUGGAAACACAAAAGCAGGAUUAGUUUCAUCCGUUUCUACUAGUGCAUCCUUUUCUACCUAUUCGGGCCCUCAGUUCAUGUGGAGUAUUAUAUCCCUGUUUGAACUACCGAAUCCUAACCCACCACGACCAGCUACCCCACCACGUGAUCACCUCGGUGAAGAUGCAGGCGGAGGAAGAGGAGUAGUCGGGGGCGGUGGCGUUGGAGGUCCAGGUGGAGGAUAUAAGAUCGAAUAGCUAUCGACUAAAGCGAGUCUGCAGCUCACGUCAUUUCUGUUCCUUUGAUUUGCAUUUCUUACAAAACAUGAAUAGCGAUUUUCAUACAACAUCGUAAAUAAUUGCAUUGUAGGAAAAGAGAAAAAAAACUUUAACUUCUAUGAUGUGAAAAUAACUUUGAUUUUUGAAAAUGUUUAUAUGGUCUUAUGACUUUGUUCAUAAUGUAGCCAUCAAAUAUUUAUGCUCCCCCAACCACUCCGAAGGAGGGGUAUAUUGUUUUGCAGAUGUCGGUCAGUCGGUCCUUCAAGAAAUCAAUUUCCGGAUGAAGACUCAUGAACGCUUAGGCCUAGGAUCAUGAAAGUUAACAGUUAGGUUGACCAUAACCAGGAAAUGACCCCUAUUGAUUUUGAAUUCAGUAUGUCUAACAUCAUGGUCACGGUUAACCAGUACAGUUAAACGGUUUCCGAACGAUAACUUGAGAACGCUUGUGCCAAUGGUUACGAAACCUUUAAUUAGGUUGGUCAGGACCAGCAAAUUACUCCCUAUUGAUGAUGAGGUCAAAGGUAAAGCUAACAGUGACCAGGAACAGUUUAAUAUUUUCCGGAUGGUAACUCGAGAACGCUUAGGUCUAGGAUCAUGAAAGUUGAUAAGGAGUUUAAUCAUGGGUAUCCAAUGACCACUGUUGACUUAGAGGUCAGUACGUUAAAGGUCAAGGUCAUUGUGACUCAGAACAUUUAAACCGUUUCUGGAUGAUAACUUGAGAAUGGUUGGACCUAGGAUAACGAAACUUAUUAGAUAGGUUAAUCACGACCAGCAGAUGAUCCAUGUUGAUUAUGAAGUCAGUAUGUCAAAGGUCAAGGUCACAUACUUUUCUUUGCCAGAUGACUACAUACUCCUUUGAUUUAAGAUUGCAUAUGAUGCGGAGGUCGCUUCUGACUGAUAAAUGACCCAAAAUCAUAGAUUUGAGGUCAGUACAUCAAACGUCCAGAGCACAGUGACCA